rnacentral:siRNA from 1 species
CGGAAGCGUUACUUGUGAUGCC